GCCGGGCGUGGUGGCACGCGCGCCUGUAAUCCCAGCUACUGGGGAGGCUGAGGCAGGAGAAUUGCUUGAACCCGGGAGGCAGAGGCUGCAGUGAGCCAAGAUCGCGCCACUGCACUCCCGCCUGGGUGACAGAGCAAGACUCCGUCUCAA
rnacentral:SRP_RNA from 1 species